GCCGCUACAUCGCCUACGAUCUUCUUCAUCAGUGCAUCUCCCACCUGAUCGACGCCGACGCCACGGUCCUCGAGCAGAACAGGGUUUGGCAGUUAAUCCGUGUUACUGGAGAUUGAAGAUUUUUAGCAGGAUUUCUUGGGUCCGGUUAGCUGCCUACAAUCGUUAGUGUUGGAGAAAAAAAUUAGCUAGUAGUGCAUUUUCUUUAAAGUCGUGUAACUCACUCUUAAAAAAUACUUAUAUGGCUUUCUAGAUAUGAUCGUGAUGUUUUGAUAUUAAGCUUUGCUUUUUCAAAUCAGAUUAGAUUGUUGGAAAUCGGUAUUGUCAUGUAAACAAUUGCUAUUUUUUAAGGAAUAUAUGAUU